AUGCUACCAACAAACCCCACCAAGGAGGCCGCCCGCGCCGCCGCGCUCGCCAGGAGCUGGCGCCACAAGUUCGCCCACGUCCACGCCAUCUCCUUCGUGGAGCACGUCGCCCGCUAUGGCCCAAGCGAGGACGACUACACCUUCUUCGUGGACUCCGUGGAGCGCCGGAGCAAGAACGGGCCGCUCCUCGACAACAUCAACGCGGCGCUUCUCUGCGCCGGCGAUCGCAACGCGGCGCCGCGUGCCUUCCGCGUCCAGUUCGGCUGCUACGACAACUGGGACAAGGCCAUGGUGAGCCAGUGGCUCACCCACCUGCUGCGCCGGACCCCGCCGGAGCUCCACCUCGACCUCCGCCUCCAGAUCACCGUCAUCGGCGAGCAUCAGGUUGGCGCCCGCGACAGGGCGGACCACGGCUGCACCGCGCACAGCCCCUACGAUGCGGAUCCGUUCAUGCUGCCGGCAAGGCUCUUCUCUCCUGCGUCGCCCUACGGACGCUCUGCCUCGGCGGCUGCGCUCUGGAUCCGCCGGAGGUCACCCGCCUGCCUCUCCUCGAGACGUUGCUCCUGA
rnacentral:rRNA from 1 species